rnacentral:tRNA from 1 species
UCUCCAGUAGCUCAACCAGGAGAGUGCCCGGCUGUUAACCGGAGGGUUGCAGGAAAGCACUGCGCGCCAGCUUCGCUAACGAAACCUGCCUGGAGAGCCA